rnacentral:rRNA from 1 species
CGGGGGGAGCAAGCGUUGUUCGGAUUUACUGGGCGUAAAGGGCGCGUAGGCGGCCAGCGCAAGUCAGUUGUGAAAUCUCCGAGCUUAACUCAGAAAGGUCAACUGAUACUGCGCGGCUAGAGUGCGGAAGGGGCAACUGGAAUUCUUGGUGUAGCGGUGAAAUGCGUAGAUAUCAAGAGGAACACCUGCGGCGAAGGCGGGUUGCUGGGCCGACACUGACGCUGAGGCGCGAAAGCCAGGGGAGCGAACGGGAUUAGAUACCCCGGUAGUCCUGGCCUUAAACGAUGAAUGCUUGGUGUCUGGGGUUACAUAGUCCCCGGGUGCCGUCGCUAACGCUUUAAGCAUUCCGCCUGGGGAGUACGGUCGCAAGACUG